UGGGGAAUAUUGGACAAUGGGCGAAAGCCUGAUCCAGCCAUGCCGCGUGUGUGAAGAAGGUCUUCGGAUUGUAAAGCACUUUAAGUUGGGAGGAAGGGCAUUAACCUAAUACGUUAGUGUUUUGACGUUACCGACAGAAUAAGCACCGGCUAACUCUGUGCCAGCAGCCGCGGUAAUACAGAGGGUGCAAGCGUUAAUCGGAAUUACUGGGCGUAAAGCGCGCGUAGGUGGUUUGUUAAGUUGGACGUGAAAUCCCCGGGCUCAACCUGGGAACUGCAUUCAAAACUGACUGACUAGAGUAUGGUAGAGGGUGGUGGAAUUUCCUGUGUAGCGGUGAAAUGCGUAGAUAUAGGAAGGAACACCAGUGGCGAAGGCGACCACCUGGACUAAUACUGACACUGAGGUGCGAAAGCGUGGGGAGCAAACA
rnacentral:rRNA from 1 species